ACGCACGCUGGCGGCGUGCUUCACCCCUGCCAGUCGAACGGAAAGGCCCUGCUUUUGUGGGGUGCUCGAGUGGCGAACGGGUGAGUAACACGUGAGUAACCUGCCCUUGACUUUGGGAUAACUUCAGGAAACUGGGGCUAAUACCGGAUAGGAGCUCCUGCUGCAUGGUGGGGGUUGGAAAGUUUCGGCGGUUGGGGAUGGACUCGCGGCUUAUCAGCUUGUUGGUGGGGUAGUGGCUUACCAAGGCUUUGACGGGUAGCCGGCCUGAGAGGGUGACCGGCCACAUUGGGACUGAGAUACGGCCCAGACUCCUACGGGAGGCAGCAGUGGGGAAUAUUGCACAAUGGGCGGAAACCUGAUGCAGCAACGCCGCGUGCGGGAUGACGGCCUUCGGGUUGUAAACCGCUUUCGCCUGUGACGAAGCGUGAGUGACGGUAAUGGGUAAAGAAGCACCGGCUAACUACGUG
rnacentral:rRNA from 1 species